rnacentral:rRNA from 1 species
AUUGAACGCUGGCGGCAGGCCUAACACAUGCAAGUCGAGCGGUAGAGAGGUGCUUGCAUCUCUUGAGAGCGGCGGACGGGUGAGUAAUGCCUAGGAAUCUGCCUAGUGGUGGGGGAUAACGUUCGGAAACGGACGCUAAUACCGCAUACGAUCUACGGAUGAAAGCGGGGGAUCGCAAGACCUCGCGCGAUUGGAGCGGCCGAUAUCAGAUUAGGUAGUUGGUGAGGUAAAGGCUCACCAAGCCGACGAUCUGUAGCUGGUCUGAGAGGACGACCAGCCACACUGGGACUGAGACACGGCCCAGACUCCUACGGGAGGCAGCAGUGGGGAAUUUUGGACAAUGGGCGCAAGCCUGAUCCAGCAAUGCCGCGUGCAGGAUGAAGGCCUUCGGGUUGUAACGUAGCUUUUG